GCUGGCGGCGUGCCUAACACAUGCAAGUCGAGCGAGAAAUCUUGGAAUGAGACUUCGGUUAAGUGAAGAGAUGGAAAGCGGCGGACGGGUGAGUAACGCGUAGGCAACCUGCCUUAUGCAGAGGGAUAGCCAUUGGAAACGAUGAUUAAAACCUCAUAAAGCCAUUUUAUCACAUGGUGAGAUGGUCAAAGAUUUAUCGGCAUAAGAUGGGCCUGCGUCUGAUUAGCUAGUUGGUGGGGUAACGGCCUACCAAGGCGACGAUCAGUAGCCGACCUGAGAGGGUGAUCGGCCACAUUGGAACUGAGACACGGUCCAAACUCCUACGGGAGGCAGCAGUGGGGAAUAUUGCACAAUGGGCGAAAGCCUGAUGCAGCAACGCCGCGUGAAGGAAGAAGGUCUUCGGAUCGUAAACUUCUGUCCUUGGGGAAGAUAAUGACGGUACCCUUGGAGGAAGCCCCGGCUAACUACGUGCCAGCAGCCGCGGUAAUACGUAGGGGGCAAGCGUUAUCCGGAAUUAUUGGGCGUAAAGAGUGCGUAGGUGGUUACCUAAGCAGGGGGUGAAAGGCACUGGCUUAACCAAUGUCAGCCCCCUGAACUGGGUACCUUGAGUGCAGGAGAGGAAAGCGGAAUUCCUAGUGUAGCGGUGAAAUGCGUAGAUAUUAGGAGGAACACCAGUGGCGAAGGCGGCUUUCUGGACUGUUACUGACA
rnacentral:rRNA from 1 species